CCUCCCACCGAUUCUGAAAUGAGGCGAAAAAUCUUCAGUCCUCCGCAAAUCUAGUGGGUGGAUUUGGGCCCAGACCAGGUCUAGAGAAAGAUGUUGAGAACCUGUCUGAGAAAAUGAGGUCUUUCACAUGACUGGCAGGGGAACUUCUGAGGGAGAUAGAACACAACAUAUUCAGCUGAAGAUCUCAGUAUUCAAGCAAGUUCAUAUGGGAGAAGAUAAUGUAUUGCAUGAUCUAUUGCAAUCCACCCUGGGAAUCUUUGAUGGACAGCUAUGCCACUUGAUACCAAUGUGGCCCAACGCACCAAGGCUACAUGGCUGUACACACCCUCAAUCCUUUCUUUAAGGCGAAAUUCACCCUCGAUCUUUUCUUUAAAGAGGAAUGAGACUGACG